rnacentral:rRNA from 1 species
GACGAACGCUGGCGGCGUGCUUAACACAUGCAAGUCGAACGCUGAAGCUCAGCUUUUGUUGGGUGGAUGAGUGGCGAACGGGUGAGUAACACGUGAGUAACCUGCCCCCUUCUUUGGGAUAACGCCCGGAAACGGGUGCUAAUACUGGAUAUUCACUGGUCUUCGCAUGGGGGUUGGUGGAAAGGGUUUUUCUGGUGGGGGAUGGGCUCGCGGCCUAUCAGCUUGUUGGUGGGGUGAUGGCCUACCAAGGCUUUGACGGGUAGCCGGCCUGAGAGGGUGACCGGUCACAUUGGGACUGAGAUACGGCCCAGACUACUACGGGAGGCAGCAGUGGGGAAUAUUGCACAAUGGGCGCAAGCCUGAUGCAGCGACGCCGCGUGAGGGAUGGAGGCCUUCGGGUUGUGAACCUCUUUCGCUCAUGGUCAAGCCGCAACAAUGGUUGUGGUGAGGGUAGUGGGUAAAGAAGCGCCGGCUAGCUACGUG